GUAGGUGGCAAGCGUUGUCCGGAAUUAUUGGGCGUAAAGCGCGCGCAGGCGGUCCUUUAAGUCUGAUGUGAAAGCCCACGGCUCAACCGUGGAGGGUCAUUGGAAACUGGGGGACUUGAGUGCAGAAGAGAAGAGUGGAAUUCCACGUGUAGCGGUGAAAUGCGUAGAGAUGUGGAGGAACACCAGUGGCGAAGGCGACUCUUUGGUCUGUAACUGACGCUGAGGCGCGAAAGCGUGGGGGAGCAAACAGGAUUAGAUACCCUGGUAGUCCACGCCGUAAACGAUGAGUGCUAAGUGUUAGAGGGUUUCCGCCCCCUUUAGUGCUGCAGCAAACGCAUUAAGCACUCCGCCUGGGAGUACGGCCGCAAGGCUG
rnacentral:rRNA from 1 species